UACGGAGGGUGCGAGCGUUGUUCGGAAUCAUUGGGCGUAAAGGGCGUGUAGGCGGUCUUUUAAGUCAGGCGUGAAAUCCCCCGGCUUAACCUGGGAACUGCGUCUGAUACUGGAGGGCUUGAGUAUGGGAGAGGGAUGUAGAAUUCCAGGUGUAGCGGUGAAAUGCGUAGAUAUCUGGAGGAAUACCGGUGGCGAAGGCGGCAUCCUGGACCGUUACUGACGCUGAGGCGCGAAAGCUAGGGGAGCAAACGGG
rnacentral:rRNA from 1 species